UACGGGAGGCAGCAGUCGGGAAUUUUGCACAAUGGCCGAAAGGCUGAUGCAGCAACGCCGCGUGAGUGAAGAAGGCCUUCGGGUUGUAAAGCCCUGUUGCCUGUAAGAAGGGCCCAAUCAGGAAAUGGGCGGGGUUUGACGGUAGCAGGCGAGGAAGCCCCGGCUAACUACGUGCCAGCAGCCGCGGUAAUACGU
rnacentral:rRNA from 1 species